rnacentral:rRNA from 1 species
UACGGAGGGUGCAAGCGUUAGUCGGAAUUACUGGGCGUAAAGGGCGCGUAGGCGGGAGUAUACGUCAGAUGUGAAAUUACGGAGCUUAACUUCGGAGCUGCAUCUGAAACUGUACUUCUAGAGGGAUAAUGGAGAAAACGGAAUUCCACGUGUAGCGGUGAAAUGCGUAGAUAUGUGGAAGAACACCUGUGGCGAAAGCGGUUUUCUAAUUAUUUCCUGACGCUGAGGCGCGAAAGCAAGGGGAGCAAACAGG